rnacentral:lncRNA from 1 species
GCAAGUUGCAUUUUAAAUCUCAUGUGAAAGCAGACAUCACUACAGAUGCAGAGCAGAGAUGUCAGUGAGAACUACCAACACGACUGGAUUGGGUUCUUCAAUCCCACCGAAGAGCACAGAGCUGAUCUCUAAGUCUGCUAUCUGCUCCUGCUAUGUCCUGAUGAAUGUUUGGUCCAGUACCAGACAGGAUGCAAAGCUGAACACCCAUAGCCAUCACUCUCCUGCUCUUCACAGUAGAUGUUGCUACCCUACAAUUAUCAAGAUUAAUAUGGUGUUGGAGAAUAUGACUGGAUUCUGCCCACACCACCAUGGCAUGCUGAUAAAGCAAUGAUAGCCUACAAAAGGAAAUAAUUCUCCACCUUUUUUUUUUUUGAUCAAGUGCCAUGGGAAUAGGACCUACCCAGUGGAGAUUUCAGUGUGGCAGAAGGAUGGGAAGCAUGGAGAUUUCUGAGAUGGUUUGGAUGCUGCUUCUACCAAGUAGAAGUGAUGUUAAACUGAAAUUGUUCAUCAAACUGUCACCUCAUACGGAUUAUUCUAUUGGAAAGUCAAGAAAACCACCACUGAUUUUAUUUUUUUUCCCCAAAAAUAUAAAACAGAUAUCUUGUGUAAGAGGAGACAAUGUUCAAACACCCAAGCUCAAGAAGGGGCUAAAAGGAAAAGCCUGAGGUUAGAGCAGAGAGAAACUGUCAAAAGUUUUAAAAGAAAUUUUAUGAAGCCAUAUUUGUAUGCAAAAUCUAUGAUCACUUUGAAAUCAAAAAAGCUACUGUUAGGUUAUUUGCACAAAGUAGCUUUAUAGUCAGAAAACCCCUCAUCACUUCUAUCCCACUUUAAAAAAUACAUUCUAUACCAUUCUGAAAUCCCAAAAGACAAUAAAAAUCACUUGGAUUUAUGAUGCUUGGGUGUAAAGGAAUUAGAUGCAAGUAGCUGGGUUUUCACAGAAAUAUUAUUCUGGAACAUUUGAAUAACACAACUUUUGGACCAGGUGCUUGGGUUGUGUGUGUGAUGUGAGCACGUGAGCACUAUGAGGUGGACUUGUGAUGUCACUGCAUUUCCUGUUCAUCACUUAGCACAGCUGAACAUCAUGGCCCCUGUAAAGCCAAACAAGAGGUUGUCAGUGACUUCAGUGGAGCCAGAAUUUCAUCCCAGGCCAGGAGCUACUGAUGGAGAGUUCCACCGGCUGGUGACUUGGAGCAACUUCAAGUCAGUGAAGCUGAAGGGAAAAAAUUCCUUGUCACAUAACUGAUCUCUUUGGCAACCCAGGGUACCCAAAUUUCACUGGAUUUUCUACCAAGUUUCCAUUCAUGUUGCAACUAUGUAGAUAAUAUGUUAAGGCAUCAUUCUUAAAAAAGUAAGGAAUUAAUUUCUCUAAGAGAUGGGUGAUUUGUAGAAGACAUUUGUGUAUUUUUGCAUGCUAAAUGUGCUUUAUAUUUACAAAUAAAUUUGCAUAAAAUCUCCAUCUCUCAAUGUCAUAGUUCUAUUUUACCUUUAAUUCAGAUGCUUAAGAAAUGUAAACUAUUUUUACAGC